rnacentral:rRNA from 1 species
GACGAACGCUGGCGGCGUGCUUAACACAUGCAAGUCGAACGAUGAAGCUGGAGCUUGCUCCGGUGGAUUAGUGGCGAACGGGUGAGUAACACGUGAGUAAUCUGCCCUUGACUCUGGGAUAACUGCGGGAAACUGUAGCUAAUACCGGAUACGACACCUUCGGGCAUCCGAUGGGUGUGGAAAGAAUUUCGGUCAAGGAUGAACUCGCGGCCUAUCAGCUAGUUGGUGAGGUAAUGGCUCACCGAGGCGACGACGGGUAGCCGGCCUGAGAGGGUGACCGGCCACACUGGGACUGAGACACGGCCCAGACUCCUACGGGAGGCAGCAGUGGGGAAUAUUGCACAAUGGGCGAAAGCCUGAUGCAGCAACGCCGCGUGAGGGAUGAAGGCCUUCGGGUUGUAAACCUCUUUUAGUUGGGAAGAAGCGAAAGUGACGGUACCAACAGAAAAAGCACCGGCUAACUACGUGCCAGCAGCCGCCGCUG